UUAUUUGAUUUGCUAUCUUAAAUAUAUCUUUUUUGCUACAAAAAUUUUAGUUGUUUAUACCAACUGCAAACAUGUAAAUCUGUAGUUUGACUCUUUAAAAAAAUUAAUUUUAAAAUUUAAAAUAUUUUUUAUACAUAUUCUUUAACAUGUAUAUUGUUCUAUGAUUGCCACAGCUUCCAUAACAGUUGCCAUAGCUUCCAUAACAGUUGCCAAAGCUUCCAUAACAGUUGCCAUAUCUUCCAUAACAGUUGUCAAAGCUUCCAUAACAAUUGCCAUAGCUUCCAUAACAGUUGCCAUAGCUUUUAAACAGUUGCCAUAGCUUCCAUAACAGUCAUACAUAUAAAUUAAGACAUACAUUAUGUCUUAAUGCAGAGUUGCUAACAAGGCCAAAAGUAGCUAGGCAAAGACCAAAGACAAGACCAUAUGUUGCAGGCCAAGGCCAAGAUCAAGGCAAAAAUUUUCAAGGCCAAGAACAAGACCAAGGACAACAGUUUCAAGAUCAAGACCAAGAAUAAGUGUUUCAAGGCCAAGGUGCACCAGUAAGACCAAAUGGUCUUAUCAAAGAGCAACAUAAAAGAAAAUUUAAAUAGGAAGUUACCGUCUCCUUUCUUACCGAUGACGUUAAAUAUUCCCAGAGCUCGCUUCGGAUCCGGGACCUCUUGCUUCUAAAGCAAGUGCUCUUACCAAUGCACCACGAUCGCAUUGUAGUAUAGUCUUAUCUGUUUUAUAUAUUAUAUUAUAUAUCCUUUCUAGUUUAUAUUUUACACUCUUGGAAAAAUUUUUAGAAAAUAUAUAUUGUAACGCAAUACUCUGCGAUAAGAUAAAAACAAUGUCUCCUUUA
rnacentral:misc_RNA from 1 species